GGGCGAGUGGUGGAACGGCAGACACUCGGGAUUUAAAAUCCCGUCCCCGUAAAUUCGGGGGUGCGGGUUCGAUUCCCGCCUCGCCCA
rnacentral:tRNA from 1 species